GUGCAUUUCCGCGCUCGCGCCACUAAAUUAGACGAACGCCCGCUAUACUUACGUAUCAUGGGGGCCUUCAUACGAUCUAAACUGCCGAACUACGUACGGGCAUAACUAUGGUGCUAAUCGUUACAAUUCUGUUUUACCGUUCGGUCAUACGCACGAACCAUGUAUUUAUUUACUUACCCGUUCGGGCAUUUUAAGCGAUUCGUGUAAAAUCCUGUUCACCCCUCGCAUACUUACCUGAUUCAUGCUAUUGCUAUUCGUGCGGGAUUAAACGAACGCACAUUAUACUUAACCUAAGCAGGUCUCUCCUACGGCUAAAACUACCGAUCCCCGUUCAAAAUAAUACAAGCAUUUCGUGCACACAAAUUCAUAUAAUAAUACAUACUUUCUGUUCGAUUAUUUAACUGUUUGUACUAACCUGUCAGUAGGAGUUAUUAAAUCCACUUAAAACUACAACCAUUUACCACCUAAACAGUUUUUUCCGGUUAACUAUGUUUAAUAUAUUAAAACCCCAGCCACUGUAUCUUAGUAAUCGGUUCUUUUUCCUACACCUAAGUGGUUAGUAAACUAUGUUUAAUGUUCAUUAAUCAAUUAAAAUAAAUUCCUCCUGAAACCAAACUAAAAGGGCAGAAUACUUUAACUCCACACCAACCUUGUUCAAACACUACAUACAUAUAUUAUUAUUAACACGAUCUCCUAGGGUAAUACUGGUAAAACCCCUCAAUUUUUAUUUUAAUUAACUACGUUUUCUCCUUAAAGUUACUCAGUCAUUAAUCCUGCCUCUGUUACAUUUCUUUGGCUCCACAGAUUGCCUCGGUUUCUCUUAUUUCUGUUUAAAAUAGCAAAUUCAAGGUCUUGUAUUUACAAACCCAGGUAUAGUAUUUACUCACCAUGGUUUCAACCAUGUCCAUGCCUCAAUACUACAUGCACUCUAUACUUGUCACAGUGUAAAUUGGUUAUUUAUAGCAUACUGGCACAGCAUUCGCUAAUUAUUAAAUAUUUAAUGGGUUUAAUCCAUAGCUCCAGAAUUAUUCUAGGCCUCCACCGGUUUCUACGCAGGAAAACCAGUUACGCUCAUCCAAGUACCUGUAUAACAAAUCAAGGUAUAUUUCUCUACUCAUUACAGGACCUUUUCAUACAAGACCUAAUGCGGUCUCAAUUCAUUACGAUUAACUCACGGUCCUACGUCCUUGGUGUGUUAAAUUCUUUACAUUUUUCUACCUAGGCAUACGGUCAUACUGCCAUCAGGCAAGAAACUACCCAACCUACCUAACCCGGUACUCAGCCACACUACCAGGUACUUAUGUCCUUAUUCGUUACGGCAUUCACUACCCCAAGGCUUCAAUCAGCCUCUCUCUAUAACGUCUUAGACUAACCAUUCAGAUCCCUCACUUCAGGAUCUCAUGUUGCGCUCCUAACAGCCAACCCUUACUACAAAUCAUACGCCACCACGUUACGCAUAAAUACAUCAACAUCUGUCUUAAUCCUUAGGCUUCUUCUACGAGGACAGCAGGAGCCAAGACUCGCUACAUAAAAACAUUUGAAGGUGCAAGUUCUCGAUUAUAACCCCUUAAAGGUUAGUAUCCACACAUUACACCAGAAUUACCAUUCAGCCUUAAGUAUACAAGUGAACUGGCUUGCAGGGUCUAGGCUACGGCUCUAGCUCACCCUAGUAAAAAAUCCGGUCCUGCAAGGCCAUCUCCCACCUCAACACAGAGGUAUGGCCCCACACCCAAAUCAUAGUUAUACGCCUCGCCCGCACUACUACAGGGCUGUAGUCAGGGCCUCACCCGUCAGGGCCACACGUUUUGAAUCUCUUUACUGUCACACCCCGCCACCACGUCUGUGGCCACGAUUUCCCUAAGCCAAAUCACCACUUGGCAUUAGCAGGGCCUCACCUAUCACCAAUUCACAGUUAAGUUUUUCGCUUCGACACUAGCAUUACAGUCCAGUUCAUCUAAAAGACCCCCUCAUA